UACAUGGGAGACAGGGUGUCAAUAUGUACUUCUGGCUGUCCUGGACUUGAUUGCAUAGACUAGGUUGGCAUUCCACUCAGAGACAGAUAUACUUGCCUCUUCCUUCUGAGUGCUGGGGUUAAAGGUGUGAGCCAGUUUAUCUAUCUUAUUUUUCUUCUCUGUUGUUAGUAACUGCUCAUACAAUUUCUCUCAUGUGUACUCUGUACUGUUGAUCUGUUUAUUUGUCUCUCUGUGUUUGUUAAUAGGCAUUUCUCUUGUAAGGUGAUAUUCCACUCAAACGGUACAGAAAUGACAGAGAUGACCCUCCUAUCAAGUUUUCUUCAAAAUGACUUAGUGGUUACAUUAUAAUGUAUAUGUCAUGGAAUAAGUGUGGGGAGCACAAGAAUUAUAUGACUAUGCUAUGUUGUCAGUAUCAUGCUUUCUGUUGUACACAUGUAUGGGAUGUUUUAGAAUGCAGUGACCUAUGAUGAUGUGCAUGUUGACUUCGCUUGGGAAGAGUGGACUUUGCUGGAUCCUUCCCAGAAGAAUCUCUACAAAGAUGUGAUGUUGGAGACUUACAGGAACCUCACUACUAUAGGAUACAGUUUGGAAGACUAUAAUAUCAAAGAACAUCAUCACAGUUCUAGGAGAUAUGAAAGAUCAAAACUUCCUCAUGGAGUGGAGCAGAGAAGCAAUGGGCACCUCUGAUGAGAAACUACCUUUUGGGAGCAGUGCAGAAGUAACAACUUUUUGCAUGGAACUGGAAUAGAC